rnacentral:rRNA from 1 species
GAUGAACGCUGGCGGCGUGCCUAAUACAUGCAAGUCGAACGAGGGCACUCACGUAGCAAUACGAGGGUGUUCCUAGUGGCGAACGGGUGAGUAACACGUUGGUGACCUGCCCCGAAGUGAGGGAUAACACCGCGAAAGUGGUGCUAAUACCCCAUGUGACCCGAGGGAUUAGAUGCCCUUGGUGGAAAGGCGUAAGCCGCUUCGGGAGGGGCCUGCGGCCCAUCAGCUAGUUGGCAGGGUAAUGGCCUACCAAGGCGACGACGGGUAGGGGUCCUGAGAGGGUGGCCCCCCACACUGGCACUGAAACACGGGCCAGACACCUACGGGUGGCUG